rnacentral:lncRNA from 1 species
GUAGGUCAUAAAUUGUUUUCUUGAUUUUAGAACUUUAUUUUUGUGCCCAGUUAGUGAAAUUUAUUUCAAUUUGCCUUGCUAACUUCAGUAGCAAGUAUCAGAAGCUACCAGCUCGAGUGUGCAGUUUUAGCCGCCAACACUACCGACAAUUUUGUUGACAUACCCCUUUCAUUCUCUGGGGUACACGGAAAAGGUGCGAAUUAAAACCAAGGGUCGACCUCUGCCUGCGAUCAGUUUCAUGAAGAACGAUGAAAAGGCUCCUGUCGUGUCCUGAAUGAUGCUCUACUACUCCAGGCUGCUGUCAUGUCCUAAAUGAUGCUCUACCACACCAGGCUGCUGUCGUGUCCUGAAUGAUGCUCUACUAUUCCAGGCUCCUGUCGUGUCCUAAAUGAUGCUCUACUACUCCAGGCUGCUGUCAUGUCCUAAAUGAUGCUCUACUACUCCAGGCUCCUGUCGUGUCCUAAAUGAUGCUCUACUACUCCAGGCUGCUGUCGUG